rnacentral:tRNA from 1 species
GGCCCGAUAAUCUAAUACAAGAUAUUUCGCUGUAAACGAAACAAUAAGGAUAAGACCAAAACACUUUCCAGCCA